rnacentral:rRNA from 1 species
GAGCAACGCCGCGUGAGGGAUGAAGGCCUCUGGGCUGUAAACCUCUUUUAUCAAGGAAGAAGAUCUGACGGUACUUGAUGAAUAAGCCACGGCCAAUUCCGUGCCAGCAGCCGCGGUAAUACGGGAGUGGCAAGCGUUAUCCGGAAUUAUUGGGCGUAAAGCGUCCGCAGGCGGUCUUACAAGUCUGUCGUUAAAGCGUGGAGCUUAACUCCAUUUCGGCGAUGGAAACUGUAAGGCUAGAGUGUGGUAGGGGCAGAGGGAAUUCCCGGUGUAGCGGUGAAAUGCGUAGAUAUCGGGAAGAACACCAGUGGCGAAGGCGCUCUGCUGGGCCAUAACUGACGCUCAUGGACGAAAGCUAGGGGAGCGAAAGGGAUUAGAUACCCCUGUAGUCCUAGCCGUAAACGAUGAACACUAGGUGUCGGGGGAAUCGACCCCCUCGGUGUCGUAGCCAACGCGUUAAGCGUUCCGCCUGGGGAGUACGCACGCAAGUGUGAAACUCGAAGGAAUUGACGGGGGCCCGCACAAGCGGUGGAGUAUGUGGUUUAAUUCGAUGCAACGCGAAGAACCUUACCAGGGUUUGACAUCCUGCGAAUCCCUUGGAAACUUGGGAGUGCCUUCGGGAGCGCAGUGACAGGUGGUGCAUGGCUGUCGUCAGCUCGUGUCGUGAGAUGUUGGGUUAAGUCCCGCAACGAGCGCAACCCACGUCUUUAGUUGCCAGCAUUCAGUUGGGCACUCUAGAUAGACCGCCGGUGAUAAACCGGAGGAAGGUGUGGAUGACGUCGAGUCAUCAUGCCCCUUACAUCCUGGGCUACACACGUACUACAAUGCUACGGACAAAGGGCAGCAAACUCGCGAGAGCUAGCCAAUCCCAUAAACCGUGGAUCAGUUCAGAUCGUAGGCUGCAACUCGCCUACGUGAAGGAGGAAUCGCUAGUAAUCGCAGGUCAGCAUACUGCGGUGAAUACGUUCCCGGGCCUUGUACACACCGCCCGUCACACCAUGGAAGUUGGCCACGCCCGAAGUCGUUACUCCAACCCUUGUGGAGGAGGAUGCCGAAGGUGGGGCUGAUGACUGGGGUGAAGUCGUAACAAGGUAGCCGUACCGGAAGGUG